rnacentral:rRNA from 1 species
GACGAACGCUGGCGGCGUGCCUAAUACAUGCAAGUAGAACGCUGAAGGAGGAGCUUGCUCUUCUGGAUGAGUUGCGAACGGGUGAGUAACGCGUAGGUAACCUGCCUGGUAGCGGGGGAUAACUAUUGGAAACGAUAGCUAAUACCGCAUAACAGUAGAUGUUGCAUGACAUUUACUUAAAAGGUGCAAUUGCAUCACUACCAGAUGGACCUGCGUUGUAUUAGCUAGUUGGUGGGGUAACGGCUCACCAAGGCGACGAUACAUAGCCGACCUGAGAGGGUGAUCGGCCACACUGGGACUGAGACACGGCCCAGACUCCUACGGGAGGCAGCAGUAGGGAAUCUUCGGCAAUGGACGGAAGUCUGACCGAGCAACGCCGCGUGAGUGACGAAGGUUUUCGGAUCGUAAAGCUCUGUUGUAAGAGAAGAACGAGUGUGAGAGUGGAAAGUUCACACUGUGACGGUAUCUUACCAGAAAGGGACGGCUAACUACGUG